AGGGGUCAUUCCGUGAAAAUUGCGACCUAGGGAUGGCCAAGGAAGGGAGGGUCAAUCCGCUUCAACGAGAUCGGAGGCGAGGAAAAGCGUUCGGGAACAGGUAGAAGAAAGAGCCAAUUAUGUGUUCAGUCGAAUUUUAGGUCCAAAUUAACUCUCGUCGUAGCACGCACAGAUUAUAACCUUGUAAUAAUGAGAAUAGGCAUUAAGUGAGAGGAGGGCAAGAUCACCACCCCACCUAGCCGACGAGCCUCCCAGCCGGGAAUAUCUGCGUGCCCCCUUCUCUCACUCCCCGACACCUGCCAAGUUCGUUACAGUUAUAAGUAAUUAUUAAUUUCAUUAUUAUAAAGUUAGUGGCGCCCAACAAUGGGACCCAAAAUAAUUGGUAGAACCGCAUCUCGAUGUGGUCAACAAUAUCGCAGGAACACACAUCAAAAACACUUUCGAUUUUUCUGGCAAACUAGAUACUAUGUAGUGAGCUUGAGAAGAGAAGCAUAUACGUUUGUCCGCUUUUAUUCUCAAACUACGGUUGCUGCAGCAUCUGGGCCAGAAUAACGAGCUUCACAGUCAGCAAAAUUUUGCAAAUCAUUCGCAUAGGAGUUAUUGUUGAGAAGUUGCUAGCAGCGAUCGACAAGCCACGGCUGACGUCGUAGAGCUUAGUAGGCGAUUAAAUACCCUACAGUAAUGGAGUCCGUAGCCCAACUAGUUAGACGUUUGGAAAAGCAGGGAAGAAGUCUUUAGAUAAGUCUACCCUGACCACGGAUAACAAGUUUUGGCAAAGACCCAUCCACUUUCAGCAAUAGUAUGCGGCAGAGCUAGCCAUCAAACGCUUGGAAAGACAGAACAAUCUCUUUAUAAAGAGUUUGCCUGGCCACGGGUGAUGGAAAACCAGCAUACCUGUCCGCAGAAGCAAGAGUGCGAAGGAGAGUAAAGAAGACGAAACUGAUUAGCUUCGAUUUACUCGCACUUUAGCUUGCAGUCGUUGUUUUUGUCUUGCGGAUCGGCGCGCCAAAGCAACAAGACGUUUGGUUGUUGCGAGGGCUGAUUAGCACGGCACAAGUAGCGGGGAACUAAGCUAUGCUUGAAGGCAAAUAAAUGUUUUUGUAUUUCUUUAUA